rnacentral:sRNA from 1 species
AAAAUGGUAUAAAACAGUGAUGAUAUGAUGCUAAAGUGAUGACAAAUGGAUGCUCAAAACAUGCAAAAUACACACUUAUCAUCAACUACUC